rnacentral:rRNA from 1 species
AUGGAGCACACGGCGGCGUCCACGCUGCUGCUCCCGGACGACGCCCUCCGCGAGAUCCUCCUGCGCGUCUCCACCGACGUCGCCGCCCUGUUCCGCUGCGGCAUCACCUGCAAGCGGUGGGGACGACUCAUCGCCGACCGCUCCUUCCUCCGCCGCUGCUGGCCGGAGAACGCUGCUGGCUCGUCCUUCCUGCUCGGCUUCUUCCAGAAGGAGUUGCCCAAGGAUCAGCCACCAUAUUUCUCCCCGAUAUUGCCGGGGUCGGUAUUCGGUUCCCAUCGUCGUUCCCUCACCACCUUUGUCUCUGGCGUGCCGGCCGGCGUCCUUAACAAAGCGAUACCGAUCGCCGCGCACCAUGGCCUCCUCCUCAUGCGUCACAUGGCCACGGGUGAGCUGGUCGUGUGUGACACACUCGCCGGCGAUUGUGUUGUGCUCCCCCCACUCAAGUGCGGUCCUCCCAACUAUGGUUUCACAAUUCUAACCCGUGAGGACUGUUGUCCCUUGGGUGAGUAUCAGGGACCAACUGCGCCAACGGCCUUCUUCAAGGUUCUAACCAUCGCCGGGGUCGCUGAUGGUUGUAGUCUCUACACCUUCAUGUCCUCCGAGACGGGCUGGAGCUCACCAAAACAGUGUUUCGACCGGGUCUGGGCACGCGGUAGACGCCAUGUUCGAAUUCUACUCGGGACGAAUAAGGUUGUCGUGUGUCGUGGCGUGGCACACUGGCUCGGGACGCACUCGGCGGAUCAAGAGGGCUUGCCAAAUUAUUUCACCUUGGGUGUCAACGCCCAGACCGGGCACGUCUCCAUAGCGGACCUCCCGAUCCCGGCGAACCAGCUAGCCAAACCAAAUUCUUCUGGACCAAUGCUUAUCGUCGAUGGGAACCGAAGGCUCUCGCUGCUCCAGUUGCGCAGGGAAGAUCUCCGACUAAGCAUGUGGACGCGGGUGGACGACGGAACCUGGCUCCGCACCGUGGUGAUUGAGCUCAAACCGCCAAAGUGGGAUUGGCAUCAUCGUGGGUGUGUAAGCAUGUGGUCAGGAAGAAGAGAAACACUUUGCUCAUCACAGAUAUGUACAGGCGCGUACACGAGACAGACACCGAAACAGGAGUGA